ensembl:lncRNA
UGAACACUGUAACUUUCUGUGGAUGAAAUUACUGCCACAGCAGUGAGAAGAAGACCUUUAGAAGACUUACUUGUUCACAGCUGAUAGUAUUUCCAGAAUGAAAGACAGGCUCUGGAGAAAAAGGCAGCACCUUCGAAUCUGAAACAGGAACAUCAAAGACUGUCAUCAAAGAGACAGGCUCUUCAAGAAGAACAAAAAGAGACGAAUCACCAAUCACAUCAGAGGGCUGAGCUGAGCAAGUGAAGGACUGGAAAGACAUAUUCUCCCUCAGGAUUUGCAGGAUCCUUCAAGAACCAUGUUGGCCAUCUUACCUAUUUCCUCUCUAGUGCACCUAGAAUAUGAUAGAAACUGCACGUUUAAGGUGUGUUCAUAAUGACUCAGAGUGUGAGGGAGCAGAAGCUGAACUGAGACCACACUCAGGACAGAAGGUGAGCCCAUCUAUUGCAUUGCUGCUGAAACGAUUCUCCAACAGAAAAUAGAGAACAUUUUUAAUUCUGUCUUAUAAAGCACCAUUUUCACACUUUUUUUUUUCUUUAUACUGGAUUAAUGCUACAUACUAAACUCUGAAGACCCUCUUAUGAAAUAUAUUGGCCAUCAGACCAAUUUCCUUACCCACAGAAGAGACACUGGUGUAGUAUCUCUCUGUUCUUGAGCAAUUUGGCAGCUCGCUUAAGGACAAAUACGUGACCAGAGGGUGGCCCUUGAGCCAUGUGCAAUUUAUGCGACUCCUCAGCACAGCUGGAUCCAGAUGUCCCAGCUGUGGGAGCUCCCCUAAGUCCUCAGCUGCAAGAAGAAUUGACCCAGGAGGGACAGUCAACGUCUGCAGCUGAAGCCAAGCCUUCAAGACAACAAAGAAGAGCUUCUGUUGAUUGUGUUGAUUGUUGAUUGUGACCAUGCGAAGAUUUUGGAACCUUGCCUUAAUGUUGGACAUCCUUUGCUCAUAGCAUCAAAAAGCAAAUUACUGCAUAUUUGUCAUACCACAAAUGUCUGCUGCUGCUGACAGCUGCCAUAAUUUUAUGUAC